rnacentral:rRNA from 1 species
UACGUAGGGUGCGAGCGUUAAUCGGAAUUACUGGGCGUAAAGCGUGCGCAGGCGGUUUGCUAAGACCGAUGUGAAAUCCCCGGGCUCAACCUGGGAACUGCAUUGGUGACUGGCAGGCUAGAGUAUGGCAGAGGGGGGUAGAAUUCCACGUGUAGCAGUGAAAUGCGUGGAGAUGUGGAGGAAUACCGAUGGCGAAGGCAGCCCCCUGGGCCAAUACUGACGCUCAUGCACGAAAGCGUGGGGAGCAAACAGG